rnacentral:rRNA from 1 species
ACAGAGGGUGCAAGCGUUAAUCGGAGUUACUGGGCGUAAAGGGCGCGUAGGCUGAUAUUUAAGUUAAUUGUGAAAUACCUGGGCUUAAACUAGGAAUUGCAGUUAAUACUGAGUAUCUAGAGUAUGGAAGAGGAAAGUGGAAUUCUCGGUGUAGUGGUUAAAUACGUAGAUGUCUAGAAGAACACCGAUUGCGAAGACGACUUUCUGUACCAAUACUGACACUGAGGCUCUAAAGCGUGGGGAUCCAACAG